GGGGGUUUCCGGUAGGGUGAACCUGCGGAAGGAUAUUA
rnacentral:rRNA from 1 species